GACGAACGCUGGCGGCGCGCCUAACACAUGCAGGUCGAACGAGCGAGAGAGAGCUUGCUUUCUCGAGCGAGUGGCGAACGGGUGAGUAACGCGUGAGGAACCUGCCUCAAAGAGGGGGACAACAGUUGGAAACGACUGCUAAUACCGCAUAAGCCCACGGUGCCGCAUGGCACAGAGGGAAAAGGAGCAAUCCGCUUUGAGAUGGCCUCGCGUCCGAUUAGCUAGUUGGUGAGGUAAUGGCCCACCAAGGCGACGAUCGGUAGCCGGACUGAGAGGUUGAACCGCCACAUUGGGACUGAGACACGGCCCAGACUCCUACGGGAGGCAGCAGUGGGGAAUAUUGCACAAUGGGGGAAACCCUGAUGCAGCGACGCCGCGUGGAGGAAGAAGGUCUUCGGAUUGUAAACUCCUGUUGUUGGGGAAGAUAAUGACGGUACCCAACAAGGAAGUGACGGCUAACUACGUA
rnacentral:rRNA from 1 species